UGCCAGCACCCCGAGUGGUCGGGACGAUUAUUGGGCCUAAAGCAUCCGUAGCCGGUUCUGCAAGUCCCCCGUUAAAUCCAGCUGCUCAACAGAUGGGCCGCGGAGGAUACUCCAGAGCUAGGAGGCAGGAGAGGCAAGCGGUACUCAGUGGGUAGGGGUAAAAUCCGUUGAUCCAUUGAAGACCACCAGUGGCGAAGGCGGCUUGCCAGAAUGCGCUCGACGGUGAGGGAUGAAAGCUGGGGGAGCAAACCGG
rnacentral:rRNA from 1 species